UACGUAGGGUGCGAGCGUUAAUCGGAAUUACUGGGCGUAAAGCGUGCGCAGGCGGUUUUGUAAGACAGGUGUGAAAUCCCCGGGCUUAACCUGGGAACUGCGCUUGUGACUGCAAGACUCGAGUACGGCAGAGGGGGGUAGAAUUCCACGUGUAGCAGUGAAAUGCGUAGAGAUGUGGAGGAAUACCGAUGGCGAAGGCAGCCCCCUGGGCUAACACUGACGCUCAUGCACGAAAGCGUGGGGAGCAAACAGG
rnacentral:rRNA from 1 species